rnacentral:tRNA from 1 species
CAGGAUAUAGUUUAUAAAAAUAUUAAUUUUGGAGAUUAAUGAUGAGAGAUUUCUCUAUCCUGA